ACAACGAACAUUAUGAAAACUUGUAUAUACCCUGGAUAUGGCAGGGAGUUUCUACCGGAAACCAAUAAUUUCCGACUAUAAGUAAGAUUAAAUGUCUU
rnacentral:ncRNA from 2 species